UGAAAGCUGGUGGAACAAGCAUACGCGGUAUUAAGAAAAGAUAGAAAACGUUAUCCGGAAUCAUUGGGUUUAACGGGCCCAAAAAGAGGGAUAAUAAGUCAGUGGUGAAAGUCUGCAGCUUAACUGUAGAAUUGCCAUUGAUACUGUUGUUCUUGAAUUAUUAUGAAGUGGUUGGAAUGAGUAGUGUAGCGGUGAAAUGCAUAGAUAUUACUCAGAACACCUAUUGCGAAGGCAGAUCACUAAUAAUAUAUUGACGCUGAUGGACGAAAGCGUAGGUAGCGAACAGGAUUAGAUACCCUGGUAGUCUACGCCGUAAACGAUGGUUACUAGCUGUCCGGCCUAAUUGAGGGCUGGGUGGUUAAGCGAAAGUGAUAAGUAACCCACUUGGGGAGUACGUUCGCAAGAAUGAAACUCAAAGGAAUUGACGGGGGCCCGCACAAGCGGUGGAGCAUGUGGUUUAAUUCGAUGAUACGC
rnacentral:rRNA from 2 species